GGGAAGGUUUUUGUUUGUGUCUUUGUUUUUGUUCUCUUCGAGUCAGCAAGGAACCAGAGCAGGAAAAAUACAUCUCCUCAAGCAUAUCUGGACUAAGCAUCUAGUAUUGCAGAAAUAUCUCAGAGCUCAUUGAGAGAGCAACUGCCGGGGAAGCCAGACGCCUCCGGCCUAGCUCGCGAUUGGGAAACCCCAGCGGCCUGCAGUAAACCCAAGGACUGGACCAACCUGCCCCGCGCCAGCUACCUGGAGGAGUUGCCAAGUCUACCCUGGCCAGCUAUCCCGAGGAGCCCAUGGUGCUGGAGCCCCCAGAGGACACCACCCCGACCCAGGAGCCUGUGAUCGUGAUGGAAUUCACAGUGACCAGAUGGCCUUGUGCAACCAAAGUACCAUUUAACCUUAACUGGAGGAACAUAACGUAAGAGGAAAAGGAUUUUAAAUCAACAAACAGUCUGUCUGACGUAAAGCCCUACCAUCCUGCGAUGGGGCCCCUGGCAGGCCUACCUACUCCAGACAUCCCCAGCAUUGUCUGUCCAUCUGGUCAACUUCUCAGCAACUGCUCUGCUGGCCUCUGGACCAAGAGCGACCUUUUAAUUCUUUGCAGUCCUUCUGCGCUGCUGGCGCCCAGCCUUGGCAUAUGAUCUCUGCGACCGGGGCUGAGCCCGGAGGUAGGAUCUUCACAGCGAGGCGCUCAGGCGUUGCCUCUGUCACCCUGAACUGUUUACCAGGAGGGAGCUUAUCUUGAGCUACUGUUUAACUUCCUGCUUGUUUUUCCCAAGAGACGGCUAUUAAACUGAACCAAGGUAGUCAUACAGGACCCAUCCUAUAACCAGGUCAAAUACAGUGUCUGCAAUUAUUACAGAGCAGCGCCCCGUCUGCCACAGACCGGCUGAGCCACCACAGCAGUGGGACCAAAUGUUUUUUAAAUAAUAAAAAUGUGCGGCUGGGGGACGUAGUCUAGAACGGGAUGUAGCCUGCCACUGGAUUCCAGCCGCAGGGCAGUGUUGUGAGCACUGGUGCACUUAUGCUGCCACCUUAAGGCCGCUCCGUGGAGCUACAUUUUUGUGUACAUGUAAGUGCUUGUGAAAUACUUGUUCAAAGGCUUCGUGCACAAGAUCUGAGCAGUAGCGUUGAGUGGGUCCAGUUGAGCUCAGGGAACCCGUGUGAGAGAAAGGACUUACCCCAAGGGACUUCCAAUCUAGGCAGGCAAAGGGUGGGAGCAAGGGAGUGUCGUUGGCCCCAUUUCAGAGGAGAACUGAGGCCCAGAGAUGCUAACUGACUUGCCCAAAAUCACCCAGGGGCGCGGUGGCAGAGGCAGGAAUUAAACCCAGCUCUCUGGAGAGCUGGUCCUGUGCCAUAGCCACAAGGCCUCUGCCCUCUUCAGUCUCCUACCUCAAUCCCCUGCUGCUGCCUACCAUCCCACCCUCGCACCCCCUCAGCUUCCCAGGAGGAUGCAGUGAGAGUGCACGAGCCCACAACAGCAUCACCCCGGGUGCCUGCGGGGUUCUUCCAACACAGCCCUGGGGCGACAGUGGAGUACAGCUCAGGGGAGGCGGCGCUGGCUUGAGGGGACCUGACCUCCCUCUCCAGUGACCUUGGCUUCGCACCUGCGCCCGCGGCGGGCUGCUGCUUGUGGCAAGCCCAGCACGGGGUAAGUGUCUACACACUCCCACUUUCCUGGGGGCUCUCAGGCAGCCAGGGCUGCCCUCAGAGGGGCUGGGGCCGGUCCAAGGCUACUCAGAUUCAGCACAGCCCUGGGGAAGAGGGGUGAGCGUCUCCGGGCCUCCCGUUAAUGAUGCCCUUCCCGGGCAGAGCUCCUAGAGCACGGACCCCACAGGCCUUCCUUGGGGGGGAGUCACUCUUUCUCUCUCACACACAGAGACAGGAGUUUUCAGGCCGGUGGCCAGGAAAGGGUUAAGGCAGGUUACCUUGGGCUCUGGGUCCUGCCCUAGUGAAUGCGUGAGCAGCAGGUGCCAUAGGAGAGCAGAGCCGCUCUGUGUCAUUGGCCCUGGGGAAGGGGCCAUCCAGUGCCUGUGAGCCGGCCGGCAUGCCCAGGGGACAUGGCCCCGGGGCUGAGGAGCGAAGCACUUUCAGGGAAGGGCGAAACAGGGAUGGAUUCUGAACCAGCCUGGCCGUCGCUAGCCCUGCCCUCCCCUUCUGAGCCAGGCAAAACACGCUGCCCUUCGCCUGCUCUCCUGCUGCAGGGCAGUGCCAGGCACCUCAGUCACAGCACCUCCCGGGUGCCGCAUGGAGACGGCGCCGUGAGCUGGGGUGCCCUGCCCAUAGCAAAGCGUGGUACCCCCAGCCCUACCGCCCAGGGACUCCCCUGCUGGGAACCAGCCAGGAGGCCUUGAGGUCACCCUUCCACCAGCACAGCCACCCCGGGCCUUGUGCCUUACCCUCUGCUGCCUCCUGGUGGCUGCUGCCCGGCACUCCUUGAAAGCAGAACCGUUUUUUAAAAACUUCCAUUUCUGCUCUUUGUAGCGGUUCAGGGAGCCUGCCUUCCUCUUCCGCAGAGUCCACUGUGACAGCGUUGGUCUCUCUUUGGACACCGAGAGAAGUUAUGGGGAGUGAAGAGGUUAAAGUCUAAUUACCCUUCUGUGAGUGAUCGUUAAUGACAAAGGGUCAUCACCACCCCACCUCCCCCACACACAAAGGAGCCCUAAGCAAUGUACAAGGGGGCCAUGUCCACCUCUACUCUGUUGGUGGGAGAGGUCAAAUGGAAGCAGCUUCUGGACACCUCAAUAGAUUGUGUGUUUCAGGAGGUGGGGGGCAGCAGAUGUAGCUCACACAACUCUGGUCUUCUGCAGGAGCUGCUCUGUGUCCAGGUACCUAUUGUGGUGUAUUGAAAACUGUGUCAAAAUUGUACGCUAUCACUUUAAAUGCUCAGCGGGGUUUCCUGGUCCUCCAUGCAGGCCAGGGGCUCUGUAGGGAAGCUAGCAGAGUCAGUCUGCAAAGAGCCAGCCUAGAGCAAGGUGGGAUGAG